rnacentral:lncRNA from 1 species
AACAAUUAUACUGCGGAUUCCAGUCAGUGACCAGCCACUACUGGGUCGUACCCUUUUCACCGAUGCUUCAGGGAAAACUGGGAAAUUUGCUGUGUUGUGGCACGAUGGGUGACUAAGUCUGGAUCAAAGGAGAAGGGGACAGACUAACAUCAGAAGAGAAUGGCAAACUGCUCCUUCUUCACAGAUGAAAGAGAAAAACGAGUCUGAAUCCAAGUUCAGGAGAUGCAAGUUGCCAAGUGGAGGAGGUUGUUGGCAGCUAUAGGAGUUAUUAAAGAACAG